rnacentral:misc_RNA from 1 species
AAACCAUCUGCAGUGUUUAAAACCACAAUGGCAGGGAUCAAAUUCCCAAGGAAAGUAAAUGGAUAAACAAUAAACAAUAUUGACCAACAUGUCAAAUGAAAUGAAAUCAUGGCCAAAAUGGCUCCUCAGCAGCAUAUCAUUUGAAUACAAGAUGGUACAUUGAUCCAGGAAUGAAAUUCUCUGAAGAGUGGAUUCUUUAAUUGUGUUCUAUGAUAUAAAAAUAUUCACACAAGGAGUAAGAAGAUUUUGCAUCA